rnacentral:lncRNA from 1 species
GAUUGCUAUAACCAUUUAUUUGUGAUAUUCUGGCCAUAAUGUAUAAUUGUAACUGAAAUGAUAAUGAUUUCAAAUUACUUCUGCUUAGUGUUGUCCUUUGGGAUUUUAUUAACUGAUAAUUUAUGGGUGGUGUGAUGUGUUUGAAAUACUCUUCUGAGUUCUGUUGCUUGCAUAUAUCUGUUCUUGAAUUCCUGUGAUGCACGUAUUAUAUGAUUUAUGCCUGCUUCAAUGUGUUACGUGCUCUCUGAGUGUGCAGCAUAUUGGCUGUCCUUGUUUCUUAUUCACUAACAAACCAUUGCUGUUUAUUACCGUGCUUCUCAAUUUAUGAAACUAGACUCUUGAUGUCAUGAGUUUUUUUGUUUUCGUUUCAGUGUAUAGGUUAUUUGUUUUGUCUUUGCAAGAAUGGAGCAUACAUAUAUUACAUUAUGCAACCUUGAUGUGUUUGUUCUCAUAGUGACAUUAAUGAGAAAAUAUAUCUAUCCAGUUGAAGAAGAUGGGUUGUAAGAAUUAGGACUUGCCAUUCAGUUUCGUCAUGUGUAUUACUGUUAAUUAUUUGGAUUGGAUCUUGAAUGAUAACGAAUGUCACGUUAUUGAUACAGGGUGCAUGGCAGCCUUGGAUGCAGAACAUUACCUGCAAGAGAUUGGUUCACCACAAGCUAAGAGUGUUUGACUAACUGGGGUGUGUCCAGAGUUCAGAAGCUGCUUGAUUAUGCGCAAUAUCUAAUUUCUAUAAGCGAUUGAAUAAGCUCUUUUUGUACCCUGCUAGAAUAUCCACGUGUACAUUAGCAUUCCGAAUUUCAUUGAGACUGAUCUGCAUUAUUUAAGAAACAGAUCCGUUCAUACAUAGACAUAAAUGUAUUAUGAUUUGUUGGACCUAUGAAAUGUAUCUGCUAUUGUGAUGAUGGAAUGAUGUUAUAUACAUAUUUUUUUUAUUUUUGCACCCAAGAAGAA